rnacentral:rRNA from 1 species
AUGAAUAUCUUGAGCUGGAACUGCCGGGGAGGGGGGAAUCCCCGGACAAUUCAUGAACUGGUGAGUAUAUCUCAGUCGCAUUCCCCCAAUUUGGUUUUCUUGUGUGAAACUAGACAGAAAGCUGAUAAGAUGAGAAGGAUCCGAGGACGCCUGGGACUAAAUGGGUUCACAGGCGUGGACUGCAAUGGGAUGAGCGGAGGCCUUGCCUUGUUUUGGAAUGAGUCGUAUGUGGUGGAAAUCUUGGACAAGGAGGAGUGA